rnacentral:rRNA from 1 species
UGGGGAAUAUUGGACAAUGGGGGAAACCCUGAUCCAGCAAUGCCGCGUGAGUGAAGAAGGCCCUAGGGUUGUAAAGCUCUUUCAACUGUGAAGAUGAUGACUGUAAUAGUAGAAGAAGCCCCGGCUAACUCCGUGCCAGCAGCCGCGGUAAUACGGAGGGGGCUAGCGUUGUUCGGAUUUACUGGGCGUAAAGCGCACGUAGGCGGCGAAGCCAGUUAGAAGUGAAAGCCCCGGGCUCAACCUGGGAAUUGCUUUUAAUACUGCUUUGCUUGAGUUCGGGAGAGGGUAGUGGAAUUUCCAGUGUAGAGGUGAAAUUCGUAGAUAUUGGAAAGAACACCAGUGGCGAAGGCGACUACCUGGUCCGAUACUGACGCUGAGGUGCGAAAGCGUGGGGAGCAAACAGG